rnacentral:rRNA from 1 species
UCCUUUAAAUGAGGACUAGUAUGAAUGGCCCCACGAGGGCUGCACUGUCUCCUUUUUCUAAUCAAUGAAACUAAUCUCCCCGUGAAGAAGCGGGGAUAAUUCUAUAAGACGAGAAGACCCUAUGGAGCUUUAAACAACUGAAACACUUGCUUUUCCAUUAACCUCUUCCGAGUUCUUUACUUCACUCAAGCAUUUUUAUUUCUAGUUUUAGGUUGGGGUGACCACGGAGCAAAACUAAACCUCCACGAAGAAAUGAAUACUUUUUAAGCCACAAACUACUUUUUUAAGCAUCAACAAAUUGACCUUCAUUGACCCAAUAUAUUGAUCAACGAACCAAGUUACCCUAGGGAUAACAGCGCAAUCUACUUCAAGAGCUCGUAUCGACAAGUAGGUUUACGACCUCGAUGUUGGAUCAGGG